UCAAGCUUGGAUAGAAGAGCUGCGUGAGUCACCUGGGAAAAGCUUAUUCCUUCCACCCGACAUGCACAUCAAACAAAAGCCGCCAACCGAUCGACUUCCCUCGUCUCCAUAUAAACACCCACCACCCCUCGAGUUCCCUCACCACCACCACCACCACCACCUCAACCCUCAACACCACCGUCGCCAUGUCUCGACUUCCCAUGACCACCAUCCUUCGCCUCAGCCGGCGGUCGUACGCCGUAGUUGCAGCGGAGGCGUCGCGUGCACCGGCAGUGGAUGAAGAGGUUGCGAGAGCUGCUGUGGUGGCCGGGGAGCAGGGCGCAGCGACGAGGGAGAAGGUCUUUUGGAUGAGGGACCCGAAGACCGGGAACUGGAUGCCAGAGAACCGGUUUGGCGACCUCGACGUGGCUGAGCUCCGUGCCCGAUUCCUCAGCUUUAACCACGGGAAAUGAACAUCGACACCUUCACAGAUCGAGAGUCUACUCUUGCUACUGGAGUCGAUCUCAAGUUAUGCUUUGGUUCUCUAUCUUCUAGUUUCUAUGAACGCUAGACGAUCCUUCACUAUCUUGCUGAUGUUGUUCGUGAACAACAUUGCAGCAUUUAGUUGAACCGUAACCACGACAAAUAAAAGAUCUACCGGAGUUGAUCUCAAA